rnacentral:rRNA from 1 species
ACCUACCUACGGGGGGCAGCAGUGGGGAAUAUUGCACAAUGGGGGAAACCCUGAUGCAGCGACGCCGCGUGAGUGAAGAAGUAUUUCGGUAUGUAAAGCUCUAUCAGCAGGGAAGAUAAUGACGGUACCUGACUAAGAAGCCCCGGCUAACUACGUGCCAGCAGCCGCGGUAAUACGUAGGGGGCAAGCGUUAUCCGGAUUUACUGGGUGUAAAGGGAGCGUAGGUGGCAGGGCAAGUCAGAAGUGAAAACCCGGGGCUCAACCCUGGGAGUGCUUUUGAAACUGUUUGGCUGGAGUGCAGGAGA